CCCAUGCCCCUGGAAUUCGAUCUGUUUGUUUCACAGGUUGCGUAAAUGCUGUUAUUGACAUGCUUGUGCAAUGACCACCCUGUCGUUAAAGUUAAUGCUAUGGUUGGAGAAGCAGCAGCUCUUCCCUGCAUGUGUCCUCCUGACAGUCCUCCAUAUCUGGUCUGGCAGAAGACCAUCGCUGAUCAGGCACUUGUGGUUAAUUACUAUAAAGAUGACGACCAAGAAGAGAACCAAAUGGCACUCGAGUACAGGAACAGAACAGAGCUGAGGCUGACAGGAAACUGUUCUCUUGUGAUUCAUAGUGUGUGUUCAUCAGACCAAGGACUGUACACCUGUUACUAUAAGAGUAAACCUUUAAGGCAUGAAACAAUCUAUCUGGAGGUCACAGCAAAACAAGUACAAGAAAAAGAGUCAGAUGAACCUCAGAGCGUCUGGAGCACCAUUGUGAUGUCUUCAGUCUGCGGGUUUCUCGUCAUUUUGAUCACAAUUGCUGCAGCAUAUGUGAUAAUUACUUGCAGAAAUAGACAUCAGAUAAGAAGAACAUCCAUUGCAACAUCAAUGAGGAGCAUUUAACAGCUGUCAUUAAUAUAGUGAUCUUUAUCACUGUUUUUAGUGGCUUUUCAUGGAUGGUAGAAAAUGCAACAAACAAAACCAUCAAUAAUGUGCUCAAUCAGACUAUACUCAAAUACAAUGUUUAGUUUUCUCAAAAUCCCUGGAUCUGUCCAAAGUCUGCUGGAUUAUGUGUUUUAUUUCCUAUGGCAGAUUUUUGCUGAUAAAUAAACUGAUAUUUUGGUGCAGGUUAACAGAAAAAUUAUACAAAUUAUUAAUUUAUUUCUACUACUGACAUUUGUAAUAAUACAAAGCUGGUUGAAAAUUGGUGUAAAUGCAACUGUGAAUUGCCAACCAAUGGCUAUCAGCCAUCCAAAACACCCCAGCAAACCACAUAGCACCCAUCCUGAACACCCUAGUAAGUACAUGUAACAUUCUAAUCACAAAAAAAAACGUUCUUAGAAUAUUAAAAAUAAGCAUUCAAAUAACAUAUUAUGGGUGAAAAUAAAGUUAUUAAAACUUUGUAAGAAACGCCUCUGUGACCUUUAACAUCAUAACCGUGAUAAGAAAACUUUUUUUUCAAUGUUUUAGAAGCAUUCCAAAACUGGAAUGUUCCUACAGCAUUUGUAUAACUUAUAACAAUUUUUAUUGCAGAUCCUCAAAAUAACAAUUUUAUCUUUGGUGUCAUUUUACAUUUGGUCACUUCAUGCAUGUAGAUUAAUCAGAGCAUGAAAAGAUUCCAUUGCACUGAUACUGACCACAUUCUCUGUAGAAUGUAUAUAGAUAUUCACUUAAUGUUUUUGCUUUCUAAUAUUUGCUUUGGUUCUGACCAGACUGUUGGAUUCACUGUAACACUUCCAGUGUGUGUGUGUGUUUGCUUUCACAGGGCAUUAGUAAAUGUAGUCAAACAGCAGGAAUCCACCACUGACCCAGAUAUCUAUGUGGGUUGUGUAACAUGUCUCGCAUUCCUGCAUUUAUUGCUUUUAAAGCAGUUUUUUGACAAAGAUGUUGAUUUCUUUCUUUCUUUCUUUCUUUCUUUCUUUCUUUCUUUCUUUCUUUCUUUCUUUCUUUCUUUCUUUCUUUCUUUCUUUCUUU
ensembl:lncRNA